rnacentral:rRNA from 1 species
GGUUAAGUUAGAAAGGGCGCACGGUGAAUGCCUUGGCACUAGGAGCCGAUGAAGGACGGGACUAACACCGAUAUGCUUCGGGGAGCUGUAAGUGAGCUUUGAUCCGGAGAUUUCCGAAUGGGGAAACCCACUGUUCGUAAUGGAACAGUAUCUUUAUCUGAAUACAUAGGAUAUUGAAGGCAGACCCGGGGAACUGAAACAUCUAAGUACCCGGAGGAAGAGAAAGCAAAUGCGAUUUCCUGAGUAGCGGCGAGCGAAACGGAAUUAGCCCAAACCAAGAGGCUUGCCUCUUGGGGUUGUAGGACACUCUAUACGGAGUUACAAAGGAACGAAGUAAAUGAAGCGACCUGGAAAGGUCCGUCGAAGAAGGUAACAACCCUGUAGUUGAAACUUCGUUCCCUCUUGAGUGGAUCCUGAGUACGGCGGAACACGUGAAAUUCCGUCGGAAGCUGGGAGGACCAUCUCCCAAGGCUAAAUACUACCUAGUGACCGAUAGUGAACCAGUACCGUGAGGGAAAGGUGAAAAGCACCCCGGAAGGGGAGUGAAAGAGAUCCUGAAACCGUGUGCCUACAAGUAGUCAGAGCCCGUUAACGGGUGAUGGCGUGCCUUUUGUAGAAUGAACCGGCGAGUUACGAUCCCAUGCAAGGUUAAGCUGAUAAGGCGGAGCCGUAGCGAAAGCGAGUCUGAAUAGGGCGUUUAGUAUGUGGUUGUAGACCCGAAACCAGGUGAUCUACCCAUGUCCAGGGUGAAGUUCAGGUAACACUGAAUGGAGGCCCGAACCCACGCACGUUGAAAAGUGCGGGGAUGAGGUGUGGGUAGCGGAGAAAUUCCAAUCGAACCUGGAGAUAGCUGGUUCUCUCCGAAAUAGCUUUAGGGCUAGCCUCAUGUUGUGAGAGUCUUGGAGGUAGAGCACUGAUUGGACUAGGGGCCCCCAACGGGUUACCGAAUUCAGUCAAACUCCGAAUGCCAAAGACUUAUCCAUGGGAGUCAGACUGCGAGUGAUAAGAUCCGUAGUCAAAAGGGAAACAGCCCAGACCACCAGCUAAGGUCCCCAAGUAUACGUUAAGUGGAAAAGGAUGUGGAGUUGCUUAGACAACCAGGAUGUUGGCUUAGAAGCAGCCACCAUUUAAAGAGUGCGUAAUAGCUCACUGGUCGAGUGACUCUGCGCCGAAAAUGUACCGGGGCUAAACGUAUCACCGAAGCUGUGGAUUGACAUCUUUGAUGUCAGUGGUAGGAGAGCGUUCUAAGUGCAGCGAAGUCAGACCGUAAGGACUGGUGGAGCGCUUAGAAGUGAGAAUGCCGGUAUGAGUAGCGAAAGACAAGUGAGAAUCUUGUCCACCGAAUGCCUAAGGUUUCCUGAGGAAGGCUCGUCCGCUCAGGGUUAGUCGGGACCUAAGCCGAGGCUGAAAAGCGUAGGCGAUGGCCAACAGGUUGAUAUUCCUGUACCACCUCCCCGCCGUUUGAGUAAUGGGGGGACGCAGUAGGAUAGGGUAAGCGCGCUGCUGGAUAUGCGCGUUCAAGCAGUUAGGCUGAUGAGUAGGCAAAUCCGCUCAUCAUGAAGGCUGAGCUGUGAUGACGAGGGAAUUAUAGUACCGAAGUUCCUGAUUCCACACUGCCAAGAAAAGCCUCUAGCGAGGCGGGAGGUGCCCGUACCGCAAACCGACACAGGUAGGCGAGGAGAGAAUCCUAAGGUGAUCGAGAGAACUCUCGUUAAGGAACUCGGCAAAAUGACCCCGUAACUUCGGGAGAAGGGGUGCUCUGGUAGGGUGUAUAGCCCGAGAGAGCCGCAGUGAAUAGGCCCAGGCGACUGUUUAGCAAAAACACAGGUCUCUGCGAAGCCGCAAGGCGAAGUAUAGGGGCUGACGCCUGCCCGGUGCUGGAAGGUUAAGAGGAGGGGUUAUCCUUUGGGAGAAGCUCUGAAUCGAAGCCCCAGUAAACGGCGGCCGUAACUAUAACGGUCCUAAGGUAGCGAAAUUCCUUGUCGGGUAAGUUCCGACCCGCACGAAAGGCGUAACGAUCUGGGCACUGUCUCAACGAGAGACUCGGUGAAAUUAUAGUACCUGUGAAGAUGCAGGUUACCCGCGACAGGACGGAAAGACCCCGUGGAGCUUUACUGUAGCCUGAUAUUGAAUUUUGGUACAGCUUGUACAGGAUAGGUAGGAGCCUGAGAAGCCGGAGCGCUAGCUUCGGUGGAGGCGUCGGUGGGAUACUACCCUGGCUGUAUUGAAAUUCUAACCCGCGGCCCUGAUCGGGCCGGGAGACAGUGUCAGGUGGGCAGUUUGACUGGGGCGGUCGCCUCCUAAAAUGUAACGGAGGCGCCCAAAGGUUCCCUCAGAAUGGUUGGAAAUCAUUCGUAGAGUGUAAAGGCACAAGGGAGCUUGACUGCGAGACCUACAAGUCGAGCAGGGACGAAAGUCGGGCUUAGUGAUCCGGUGGUUCCGCAUGGAAGGGCCAUCGCUCAACGGAUAAAAGCUACCCCGGGGAUAACAGGCUUAUCUCCCCCAAGAGUCCACAUCGACGGGGAGGUUUGGCACCUCGAUGUCGGCUCAUCGCAUCCUGGGGCUGUAGUCGGUCCCAAGGGUUGGGCUGUUCGCCCAUUAAAGCGGUACGCGAGCUGGGUUCAGAACGUCGUGAGACAGUUCGGUCCCUAUCCGUCGUGGGCGUAGGAAAUUUGAGAGGAGCUGUCCUUAGUACGAGAGGACCGGGAUGGACACACCGCUGGUGUACCAGUUGUCUUGCCAAAGGCAUCGCUGGGUAGCUAUGUGUGGACGGGAUAAGUGCUGAAAGCAUCUAAGCAUGAAGCCCCCCUCAAGAUGAGAUUUCCCAUAGCGUAAGCUAGUAAGAUCCCUGAAAGAUGAUCAGGUUGAUAGGUCAGAGGUGGAAGCGUGGCGACAUGUGUAGCUGACUGAUACUAAUCGAUCGAGGACUUAACCAA